AUGUGUAUUGAUCACUUGUCAAAGGAGAUAGUCAAGCACCAUGAGAAAUUGCUUGAUGAUUGGUUUCGAAUAGUUCGAAGGGAUCCCGAGGAUGAAACUGGUCCUGAUCAAAUGUUUGUGGGAGGGUGUUUGCCGCUAGUUGCGAUAUUGUACAUGCAUUUCCUUGAUCUUAAGGUUGCUGCACGGAAACGAAAGAUUGACUAUAGUGUCCCAAGAAUAGCUCAUAUCAAGAAUCAGGACUUUGAUUUUGUUUAUUUGGUUGACAUGAAGCAUGAUCGUGUAAAGAAGCUAAAAUUUGGUGCAAUGCCAUUCAAAGAUAUUUCUGAGGCCCCAUACAGUGUGCGUGCAUUGAUACUGACAGAAGAAAAGUGGCUUAAAUUGGAUGCCAAUGCUACUCAGGUGUUGGAGUUAAUGUCUGAGGUUGUCUCGAAGCAUGAGAAGUUAUGGAAGAUAGCUCAUGAGAAACAUGUGUCUGGGUUGCUAGUAGAACUUAGAUCAGUUGUGUCGUCCUGUUUUGCAGAGAGUGGUGAAUGUUCAAUUCAGGCUUCAGAAUCUGCAAGGUCUAGUUGCUCAGGUAAAUGUUGGAAAAGAUGCUCGAGCGGCCUUUCCGCAAGGAAUUCAAGGUUCACCUAG
rnacentral:rRNA from 1 species